CAACUACUCCCUCCGUUCCAAAUUACUCGUCGCAGAAAUGGAUGUAUCUAGAACUAAAAUACAUCUAGAUACAUCCAUACCUGCGACAAGUAAUUCGUAACGGAGGGAGUAGUAA
rnacentral:pre_miRNA from 1 species